ACCCAGCAAACCAAUUAUUAGCAUGGCCCGAAUAUUUAACCAUCCAUCAAUGAUCUGGAGCAGUGAAUGAAAUGCACUGUGUGCUAAAUAUUAAUAUUGGUAGUGACAGAAACGUAUGAAUAAGACAGGAUGAUUUCAAGAUGGACGUGCAGAACAUAAUUGAGUAUACUUCCCAAAGAGCAAAUCUGCUGCAUUACCUAUGAAGAGGACAAUGGGGCCCCAGUGAGGCACCCUAUUCAUAUAUUUUUGGAACCCAGAGGAAUUGGUUUGACUAUUUACAGAUUAUAACAGUUGGAAUAUUUCUCUAACUAAUGGGAUGGAUUUGGCAGUUCUUACUGCAUGGCCUCUGCUUCCUCAUGGCCCCUCCGUUCUCCCUCAUGGGUGCUUGUUAGGAGAGCAGGGGAAGGACCUGAGGCCGGGGCUUGCUGAGGAGGCGACCACGUGGACACGGUUUGCUCGGCUGCCAUUGGCAUGUUGUGGAAAGUGAGGGGUGGGAUGGACUUGAUGAAGGCAGCCCCAUCUUGGGAAAUGUUUGAUUAGAAAAAUAGCGUCAAGCUGUAACUUAUCAUCAGCUCUAGAUAUAUUUGGGGGAGUCCCGUCUCCCGAAUGGGAUUAAAUUACAUAUAGUGUUAACGCAGA